rnacentral:rRNA from 1 species
AUGAACGCUAGCGACAGGCUUAACACAUGCAAGUCGAGGGGCAGCACAGGUAGCAAUACCGGGUGGCGACCGGCGCACGGGUGAGUAACGCGUAUGCAACUUGCCUAUCAGAGGGGGAUAACCCGGCGAAAGUCGGACUAAUACCGCAUGAAGCAGGGAUCCCGCAUGGGAAUAUUUGCUAAAGAUUCAUCGCUGAUAGAUAGGCAUGCGUUCCAUUAGGCAGUUGGCGGGGUAACGGCCCACCAAACCGACGAUGGAUAGGGGUUCUGAGAGGAAGGUCCCCCACAUUGGUACUGAGACACGGACCAAACUCCUACGGGAGGCAGCAGUGAGGAAUAUUGGUCAAUGGCCGAGAGGCUGAACCAGCCAAGUCGCGUGAGGGAUGAAGGUUCUAUGGAUCGUAAACCUCUUUUAUAAGGGAAUAAAGUGCGGGACGUGUCCCGUUUUGUAUGUACCUUAUGAAUAAGGAUCGGCUAACUCCGUGCCAGCAGCCGCGGUAAUACGGAGGAUCCGAGCGUUAUCCGGAUUUAUUGGGUUUAAAGGGUGCGUAGGCGGCCUUUUAAGUCAGCGGUGAAAGUCUGUGGCUCAACCAUAGAAUUGCCGUUGAAACUGGGGGGCUUGAGUAUGUUUGAGGCAGGCGGAAUGCGUGGUGUAGCGGUGAAAUGCAUAGAUAUCACGCAGAACCCCGAUUGCGAAGGCAGCCUGCCAAGCCAUUACUGACGCUGAUGCACGAAAGCGUGGGGAUCAAACAGGAUUAGAUACCCUGGUAGUCCACGCAGUAAACGAUGAUCACUAGCUGUUUGCGAUACACUGUAAGCGGCACAGCGAAAGCGUUAAGUGAUCCACCUGGGGAGUACGCCGGCAACGGUGAAACUCAAAGGAAUUGACGGGGGCCCGCACAAGCGGAGGAACAUGUGGUUUAAUUCGAUGAUACGCGAGGAACCUUACCCGGGUUUGAACGCAUUCGGACCGAGGUGGAAACACCUUUUCUAGCAAUAGCCGUUUGCGAGGUGCUGCAUGGUUGUCGUCAGCUCGUGCCGUGAGGUGUCGGCUUAAGUGCCAUAACGAGCGCAACCCUUGCCACUAGUUACUAACAGGUAAAGCUGAGGACUCUGGUGGGACUGCCAGCGUAAGCUGCGAGGAAGGCGGGGAUGACGUCAAAUCAGCACGGCCCUUACAUCCGGGGCGACACACGUGUUACAAUGGCGUGGACAAAGGGAGGCCACCUGGCGACAGGGAGCGAAUCCCCAAACCACGUCUCAGUUCGGAUCGGAGUCUGCAACCCGACUCCGUGAAGCUGGAUUCGCUAGUAAUCGCGCAUCAGCCAUGGCGCGGUGAAUACGUUCCCGGGCCUUGUACACACCGCCCGUCAAGCCAUGGGAGCCGGGGGUACCUGAAGUCCGUAACCGAAAGGAUCGGCCUAGGGUAAAACUGGUGACUGGGGCUAAG